UACGAAGGGGGCUAGCGUUGCUCGGAAUCACUGGGCGUAAAGCGCACGUAGGCGGCUCUUUAAGUCAGGGGUGAAAUCCUGGAGCUCAACUCCAGAACUGCCUUUGAUACUGAGAGGCUCGAGUCCGGGAGAGGUGAGUGGAACUGCGAGUGUAGAGGUGAAAUUCGUAGAUAUUCGCAAGAACACCAGUGGCGAAGGCGGCUCACUGGCCCGGUACUGACGCUGAGGUGCGAAAGCGUGGGGAGCAAACAGG
rnacentral:rRNA from 1 species